AAACAUCAUGGCUGCGCUCAGGAGAGUUUCACAAGGUGUUUUGCAAAAUGGGCAAAUUUUCUUGAAUGCAACAAAACAAUGCAAUGUUUACGCAGGAGUGAUACCAAAAACACAUUUUUCUACGUUCUUAAAGAAUGUUUAUACAAAACACAGCUCAAUUUUAAGAAGAAAAUGGAAAGUGUUGGCUUGCGUAAUUGGAACAGGGAGUCUGGGUACCGCACUUUUAUUUGACAAACAGAAAUAUGUGGUUAAUGCAGACUUUCCAGGACAAUCCAUAGUUCCAACCAAACAGAUUCGAUUUGAUGAUGACAAGACAGGACUGAAGCUAACGUUGUUCCAGUUUGUUACUUGUCCCUUUUGUUGUAAAGUUCGAGCCAUGCUCAACUACAAUGGAAUCUCGUAUGACGUUGUAGAGGUGAACUCCAUAACAAGAGAUGAAAUAAAAUGGUCUAAAUACAAGAAAGUACCGAUAUUGGUGGCACAGGGAGUUGGAGAAGAGGGAUAUGUGCAAUUGAAUGACUCCACUGUCAUUAUGAGUGUGUUGGAGAGUUAUCUGAACGACAAAACAGUUUCCCUCCAAAAACUCCUAACCUUCUACCCAACCAUGGACAAAGAGAUCAAAGGACGGUUUAGAAGUAAAACAGUCACAGAGACUCCCAACAAAAACUUUCUGAUGUUUCAGGAUCACUUAACAGACAAGAGAACCCCUGAAGAGAGAGCUGAGGAGCGGAGGAUUCGGGUGUGGGUGGAUACCGUCUUCGUUCACUUGAUCUCCCCCAAUGUUUACCGCACAAUGUCCGAGUCCCUGGACACGUUCCAAUGGUUCUCCAAGGCGGGAGACUGGGAAACCAACUUCACCGGCUUCCAGAGAAACACCAUCAUCUAUAUUGGAGGAUUUGUCAUGUACUUUGUAGGGAAAAAACUGAAAAGGAACCCCUGACUCAGAUGGGUGACCACUAGUAGUGAGUAGUAACCAAUGACCUCUGAUCUACAGAUACAACCUUCAGAAGGACGUGAGAGAGUCUCUUUAUGAGGGAGGAAAUGCCUGGGUUAACUUCCUCAAGGGCCGGAAAUUUGUGGGUGGAGACCAACCAAACCUGGCUGAUUUGUCCAUGUACGGGAUGCUGACAGCGAUGGAGGGGACGGAAGCGUUCAGAGACCUGGUGGACAACACGAAGCUCAAGCCGUGGUACGAUAGAACCAAGACAAUGGUGGAGGGGCACCAGGGAGCCAAUCGGGCGCGGGACGUCACCCGCAAGUAGUGGGUGUGGUCAGAGGGGGUGGUGUUCUUCCUGCUGCCUCCACCCCACAGGUGUCAAGCCCUGACUGUUUUCAGUGAACUGUGAUAAUGUCUGUGACAGUGAGAGUUAUUUAUAGACCUCAAUAUGAUCUACAGUCAGAUUUAUAAUCUGAACUCAACAAAUCAUGUCAAUCGACAAUGUGAUCAAAUAUGCAUAUUUGACCUUUGUGAAUGUGUUUAUGAUCUUUGUGAAUGUUGCAGUAAAUAAUGUUAAAGAGU
rnacentral:misc_RNA from 1 species